rnacentral:rRNA from 1 species
GUACGGGGGGGGGGCAAGCGUUGUUCGGAAUUACUGGGCGUAAAGGGCUCGUAGGUGGCCAACUAAGUCAGACGUGAAAUCCCCUCGGCUUAACCGGGGGAACUGCGUCUGAUACUGGAUGGCUAGAGUUUGGGGAGAGGGAUGCGGAAUUCCAGGUGUGCGGUGAAAUGCGCAGAUAUCAGGAGGAACACCAAUUGCGAAGGCAGCUCGCUGGGACGUUACUGACGCUGAGACGCGAAAGCGUGGGGAGCAACAGGAUAGAUACC